GACAGAGGGUGCAAACGUUGUUCGGAAUUACUGGGCGUAAAGCGCGUGUAGGCUGCUUGGAAAGUCGGAUGUGAAAGCCCUGGGCUCAACCUAGGAAGUGCAUUCGAAACUUCUGAGCUUGAGUAUCGGAGAGGAAGGCGGAAUUCUCGGUGUAGAGGUGAAAUUCGUAGAUAUCGAGAGGAACACCGGUGGCGAAGGCGGCCUUCUGGACGAUAACUGACGCUGAGACGCGAAAGCGUGGGGAGCAAACAGG
rnacentral:rRNA from 1 species